GAUCAGCUUUUAAAAGGCGGCGUAAAGCUGUCGCUAUGGGGAUGGCCCCCGCGGUGCAUUAGCUAGUUGGUAAGGUAAAGGCUUACCAAGGCGAUGAGUGCAUAGCCGAGUUGAGAGACUGAUCGGCCACAUUGGGGACUGAGACACGGCCCAAACUCCUACGGGGAGGCAGCAGUAGGGAAUCUUCCACAAUGGACGCAAGUCUGAUGGAGCAACGCCGCGUGAGUGAAGAAGGUUUUCGGAUCGUAAAAGCUCUGUUGUUGGUGAAGAAGGAUGAGGUAGUAACUGGCCUUUAUUUGACGGUAAUCAACCAGAAAGUCACGGCUAACUACGUGCCAGCAGCCGCGGUAAU
rnacentral:rRNA from 1 species